GCUCCCUGUAAUAUCCAUGCCAGCAUAAUAGGAAAGCAUUAUAUGGAUGUGCUUAGAGGCUGCCGACUAAUUACUAUCUCGCAUGAGUAUUGCCUGGUUGUUAAUUAAAUUGUAGCCCCAGACAAUUUUUUUCUGGCAGGUUGGCCAUAAAAGUUCUGUAGAGAAGUACAGUGAAGUGCAUAGGGGCAUACCGCCCAGUCUUUAUCCUCACACCUCCACCGCUUCCUCCCUUGUAUCCAUCUCCUCCAACCUCGGAUCCUCAUCCGCCAUGCCGCCGAUGCUACGCCGUAGAUUCAGAGGCUAUGCCGACAGUGGCGGGGAAGAUUGAAUCCGGGGAAAGUCGACCCGGCAAAUCAUAUAGUCCCAAAAUCCCCGCUGAGUUAUGCUAAAACAAUUGGGGGCGGAGCGCGCGGCCAUCUACGUGGCGAUGACGGCGAGCGCCUGACAAGCCGUGGUUCCCGUAUCGUCUUCUGUCGCCCUGUUUUAGCUGAAGUUCAGGGAGAUAAUUUAUACACCUCCGACUGCUCUGUUUUUGGAGCAAUUCCUUUAAUUGUUUUCAUGCAAACCACUUCCUAUUUCUCAAUCUUGUUCUCGCAUGCGCGAGCUAAGAUGUUAUACUUCGGAUAUGUGGUCAUAGUUUGGAUAUCAGUGUGCUACCACUAAGCAUUAUUAAUUUGUUGCAGCAAAAAAUUCAUCAUUUUUGCCUCAAUCAUUCAGACGAACACACUUGCAAAGAGCAAGGACUGUAUACAGAGUUCAUGUGGAGACAUUCUUGGGUCUGCAAGCCAAAGUUAGUCUUAUAUAUGGGUUCAGAUGACGGUCUAUCAUGCUGGGUUCUGAAACAUCCGACAACAAGGUGUUGACCCGAAAGUUGAAUGGUGAGGUGUCAUACAUCUCAUGGGACAGUUUUUUUACCUUCUAGUGUCACCGCUUCGCUGAAAUCAUCCAUCAGGUCUUUGCUCCUAAAAACCUGUGAAAUCUAAUUUGAAUCUGCUUGGACCAGUAAUUUGAAUCUGCUUGGACCAGCCUGGGCAGUGUCAUGCUGAAUGUGAACCGGGUGUUGUUUUGUAGCCACAAUUGUCAAUUCCCUGCCCGACGACAGGACUGGUUCAUCGUUGUCUAUUCCGAGGUCAUAUGAGGGAACCUCUGUGUUCAGCCCUGAAUCAGGGCCAUAAAUCCAUCGUCUACCAUCUGCUGAUUUGGCCUGAAUUGGCAUCUGUUCAUGCAAUUCAGUAUCAUUGGUUACAUCA